UAAAUUCAACCAAACAAGCAGUGUACAGAUUGACAAUGCGGUUCUUUUGACAUGAUUAUGGAAGCACAGAUUUU
rnacentral:misc_RNA from 1 species